ACUAACCAAAUAAAGUGAGAAACAACAAAGACGCCGAAAACAAAGUAAAUGACAAAGAUGUCGGGAACACAAAAGAAAUCAUUUAUUCUUUCAUGGACCCUUCUUGAAGUCAAAGCCGUAGCUGCUGGAAGUUACAGUCUGAUUAUACCUAUUGUAUAUCGAACAAAGCAAAAUAAAAAUAUUACUAUUGUUAUUUGAUGUGCAAAGUUUCGGCGCGUAAAUUAUAGAUGACAUUUCUUAUUAUUAGAUCGAACAUUAGAUCGGAAUAGGGCUGUACAUGAAUAAGUGACUUCUUAUCCUUCGAAAAAAUGACUUGCGUAAAUGCCACUAUAGUGGCGUACGUUUCAAAAAGAUAACAUGCGAAAGCCAUUAUAAAGGCAAUUAAUAGCUAAAAGGUUAAAAGAUCAUAUGCGAUAUGUACGGCGUAGAACGAACUAGUUGCGAGAAUGUUUUCACGUGAGCGUAGACGAAGCUGUGUUUAUUUGGUUAGAAUAACGAUUAACCAUUGUCACGGAAAAAUCACAAAAAAUGCCCAAAGUGGCUAAGCCACCUAAGCAGAAAAUGUAAAAUCCCCAUAAAUUGGCUGAUUAUCAAUAUGGAAAAUGAAAUAUCUAUGACGACAUUAUGUGUAAGAAUCAUAUGGUUAUAACAAAUCUGAUGAAAUAUGCCCGAUGGGAAGAAAGUCAGAAACAAUGCAGAGAGUAAGGUACUUUAAGUACAAAAAAUAGUACAUUUUAUAAUAGUACAUUUAUUCUUAGUUGUAUUAGAAAUAUUUCAAGUUUUUAUAUGUCUAAUUUAUUUUAAAUUUGUAUAUGAACGUGCGCUAGAUGUUGAUCAUAGAUACAUUACAUUAUGGUUAUAUUAUAUUGAAAUAGAAAUGCACAAUAAGUAAAUAAAUUAAUUUUGAUACAAAUACACAUAUAUGGAAAAUAUUAUUGUUAAGAUUUGAUAUAAAAUUAGGGAUUAUUUUUUAUUAUGUAAAUUGAUUUUGUAAAGGUAUAUUAUAGAAACACGUCAAGUUUUUGAGCGAUAGGUGGAAUGAGAACCUGACUAAUAGGCAUGGCAAACAUAUAUUAAAUUUGAAUUACGAUAUAAAGAAAUACAAAGAGCCAGGUAGAGAUAUAUAAUUGUGUAGGGAGAUAUAUAGUUUUGUAAUAAAUGUAGGACGCAAAGUUUAUGAAGAUAUAAACUUUUUCGGAGAUGAGAGCUUAGAUGAAAAACUAUUUAUAGCAUUUGCAAGAUUUGAAGAAGGACAAAAAGAAGUAUUAUUUUAAGAUAACAAUAUAUUCAGUAUCUCUGUUAUAAUAAGUAUAAUUUUAAUAUUUCUCUGAUAGCAUGAUAGAGCAAAAAUAAUUUCUAAGUAUGCUUUAGACAAUAUUUCAAAAGAAAAACAUAAUACUUGGUUUGACUAUCUGAGAUUAGUAAAAUCUGAAGAAAAUCUAAAAGAAUUAGAAACUUUAUUAGGAGACUUUGACCGUCCUAGAACUAUUUAUGAAUUAGGUGUGUCUUAGACGAAUUAAGUUAUAUUUUUAGAAAUUACUAC